rnacentral:lncRNA from 1 species
GAAAGUGGUUGGUCAUGGCCAAACUAUUUGGCCGAAUUUUGUGUUAAUACCUCAUCUAGUGGAUUUUGAAGACAUGUCUAACAGAUUUUCAAAUUUCUCAAUUGAAAGUUUUUGCAAAGUGUCUUACGACAGUGGUAGAAAAUAUAACAAAUUAUGGGAAGAAAAAUUCGUCUGUGUUAGUAUAGCCAGUGAUGGAAGUGAAAAUGCUCCAGUUCCAAGGAAAAUGUUGCAGAGAUUUGAAAGUAUCACCACACAUGGUGGAGCUAUUUAACUCUGCAAUCAUGUACGAGAAGGAAGAACCAGGGGACGGUGACGAACUGGACUCCACCAUUAUCAUGCUCCACCACCAUUUGAGUUUACGAUUUGAGUGGGAGGUGGAUGACCUUUGUAGGAUAUUUGACCUUGGCUGAAGCGUUUAUAUACAAUAUACAGAAGUGUGUGGGAGGUGUAAGAGCAUUCUUGGCUAUUUGACAUUGGCUGAAGUCUUAUACAGAUUUGAGUGGGAGGUGGAUGACCUUUGUAGGAUAUUUGACCUUGGCUGAAGCUUGCUGGCGCGGAGGGGUUCGAGACACUUGCAAUAUCACUUCCCGUCGGCCACCUCGCGCUGUAUAUACGUUUUAAAAAUACAAUACUGGAAAAGGCAGGAAACUGUACCAACAAAUGGGGUAUUUUUAGGGGGGAGGGGGUUCAGUUCAACUUAAAUAUAGUAUUUUUCCAGUAAUAUUGUGCUAAAUUAAUGCUGUACUGUAUAAUAGGUAAAUGAUUUAACUUGAACAGUAACUAUUGUGUACCGAUCAUAGUUAAUGUUAGUGAUCAAAUAUUACAGGUUAUACCUACUAAUUGUGCUGCGAGUGUUGUUCUCUGAAUUGUUGUUAUACAAGUUGAUUUGUCUUGAUAUAAGUGGAUAUUUGAACUUGAUAUAAGUAUAAUUUGUCUAUAAAGGUUGACGGUUUAAUGACUUAUUUCAGAUUUGAGUGGGAGGUGGAUGACCUUUGUCGGAUAUUUGACCUUGGCUGAAGCGUUUAUAUACAAUAUACAGAAGUGUGUGGGAGGUGGAAGAGCAUUCUUGGCUAUUUGACAUUGGCUGAAGUCUUAUACAG